ACGGAGGGUGCAAGCGUUAAUCGGAAUUACUGGGCGUAAAGCGCACGCAGGCGGUUUGUUAAGUCAGAUGUGAAAUCCCCGGGCUCAACCUGGGAACUGCAUCUGAUACUGGCAAGCUUGAGUCUCGUAGAGGGGGGUAGAAUUCCAGGUGGAGCGGCGAAAUGCGUAGAGAUCUGGAGGAAUGCGAGUGGGGAAGGGGACCCACUAGACGAAGACUGACGCUCAGGUUCGAAAGCGUCGGGAACAAACAG
rnacentral:rRNA from 1 species